rnacentral:rRNA from 1 species
GACGAACGCUGGCGGCGUGCUUAACACAUGCAAGUCGAACGAUGAACUUGGAGCUUGCUCUGGGGGAUUAGUGGCGAACGGGUGAGUAACACGUGAGUAACCUGCCCUGGACUCUGGGAUAACUUCGAGAAAUCGGAGCUAAUACCGGAUAGGACCUUGCACCGCAUGGUGUGGGGUGGAAAGUUUUUCGGUUUGGGAUCGACUCGCGGCCUAUCAGCUUGUUGGUGAGGUAAUGGCUCACCAAGGCGUCGACGGGUAGCCGGCCUGAGAGGGUGACCGGCCACACGGGGACUGAGACACGGCCCAGACUCCUACGGGAGGCGGCAGUGGGGAAUAUUGCACAAUGGGCGCAAGCCUGAUGCAGCAACGCCGCGUGCGGGAUGACGGCCUUCGGGUUGUAAACCGCUUUUAGUAGGGAAGAAGCCUCUUGGGGUGACGGUACCUGCAGAAAAAGGACCGGCUAACUACGUGCCAGCCGCCGCCGUAACAC